UUAGUAAGUUACGGAUACAAUAGUGGUCGGUCGUCGCCGUCGGUACGUACUGACUUAUUGGUUUCUCCUUUCUGAAGAACCAUGAUGUCAUUUAUUUGGUGUCGUGGGGAAAUCAGGACUGUUACUUAGAAAAAAUUAGAGUGUUUAAAGCAGGCUCACGCUUGAAUACAUUAGCAUGGAAUAAUGAAAUAGGACGUUUGAUUCUAUUUUGUUGGUUUCUAGGAUCGACGUAAUGAUUAAUAGGGAUAGUUGGGGGCAUUAGUAUUCAAUUGUCAGAGGUGAAAUUCUUGGAUUUAUUGAAGACUAACUACUGCGAAAGCAUUUGCCAAGGAUGUUUUCAUUAAUCAAGAACGAAAGUUAGGGGAUCGAAGACGAUCAGAUACCGUCGUAGUCUUAACCAUAAACUAUGCCGACUAGGGAUCGGAUGAUGUUAAUUUUUUAAUGACUC
rnacentral:rRNA from 1 species